GUGAUGAAGGUCUUCGGAUUGUAAAGCCCUGUUAUUCUGGGACGAUAAUGACGGUACUUGAGGAGGAAGCCCCGGCUAACUACGUGCCAGCAGCCGCGGUAAUACGUAGGGGGCUAGCGUUAUCCGGAUUUACUGGGCGUAAAGGGUGCGUAGGUGGUUUUUU
rnacentral:rRNA from 1 species